GACGAACGCUGGCGGCGCGCUUAACACAUGCAAGUCGAACGGAAAGGCCUGCUUUCCCUUGUGGAUUGCGGGUACUCGAGUGGCGAACGGGUGAGUAACACGUGAGUGAUCUGCCCCCAACUUGGGUAUAAGCCUGGGAAACGGGGUCUAAUUCCCGAUAGGACUGCAGGGUGGUGCCUGUGGUGGAAAACGAUUUUCUAGUGGUUGGGGAUGAGCUCGCGGCCUAUCAGCUUGUUGGUGGGGUAAUGGCCUACCAAGGCGGCGACGGGUAGCCGGCCUGGGAGGGUGGACGGCCACAUUGGGACUGAGAUACGGCCCAGACUCCUACGGGAGGCAGCAGUGGGGAAUAUUGCACAAUGGGCGGAAGCCUGAUGCAGCGACGCCGCGUGGGGGAUGACGGCCUUCGGGUGGUAAACUCCUUUCGACCGCGAGGAAGCCACCUGGUUGGAAGGGUGGUGACGGUAGUGGUAGAAGAAGCACCGGCUAACUACGUG
rnacentral:rRNA from 1 species